UACGUAUGGAGCAAGCGUUAUCCGGAUUUACUGGGUGUAAAGGGAGUGUAGGUGGCCAGGCAAGUCAGAAGUGAAAGCCCGGGGCUCAACCCCGGGACUGCUUUUGAGACUGCAGGGCUAGAGUGCAGGAGGGGCAAGUGGAAUUCCUAGUGUAGCGGUGAAAUGCGUAGAUAUUAGGAGGAACACCAGUGGCGAAGGCGGCUUGCUGGACUGUAACUGACACUGAGGCUCGAAAGCGUGGGGAGCAAACAGG
rnacentral:rRNA from 1 species